rnacentral:rRNA from 1 species
GAACGCUGGCGGCGUGUCUUAAGCAUGCAAGUCGUGCGGCAAGGCGGGGCAACCCGCCCUAGAGCGGCGGACUGGUGAGUAACGCGUGGGUGAUCUGCCCUUGGGAUGGGGAUAGCCAUUAGAAAUAGUGGGUAAUACCGAAUACGUUCGUCGCUUCAGUGCGACGAGGAAAAGCGCUUCGGCGCUGCCCGAGGAUGAGCCCGCGUCCCAUUAGUUAGUUGGUGGGGUAACGGCCCACCAAGGCUAGGACGGGUAGCUGGUCUGAGAGGACGACCAGCCACACUGGAACUGAGACACGGUCCAGACACCUACGGGUGGCAGCAGUCGAGAAUUUUUCACAAUGGGCGCAAGCCUGAUGGAGCGACGCCGCGUGGGGGAUGAAUGGCUUCGGCCCGUAAACCCCUGUCAUUUGUGACCAAACUGCGUUGUUUAAGAGACGGCGCACUGAUGGUAGCGAAAGAGGAAGGGACGGCUAACUCUGUGCCAGCAGCCGCGGUAAUACAGAGGUCCCGAGCGUUGUUCGGAUUCACUGGGCGUAAAGGGUGCGUAGGUGGUGGGGUAAGUCGGAUGUGAAAGCUCGGAGCUCAACUCCGAAAUGGCAUUGGAAACUGCCCUGCUCGAGGGUCGGAGGGGGGACUGGAAUUCUCGGUGUAGCAGUGAAAUGCGUAGAUAUCGAGAGGAACACCCGUGGCGAAGGCGAGUCCCUGGACGACACCUGACACUGAGGCACGAAAGCUAGGGGAGCAAACAGGAUUAGAUACCCUGGUAGUCCUGGCCGUAAACGGUGCACGUUUGCUGUAAGAGGAAUCGACCCCUUUUGUGGCGAAGCCAACGCGAUAAACGUGCCGCCUGGGAAGUACGGUCGCAAGGUUAAAACUCAAAGAAAUUGACGGGGGCCUGCACAAGCGGUGGAGUAUGUGGCUCAAUUCGAUGCAACGCGAAGAACCUUACCUGGCCUUGACAUGCACGUAGUAGGAGGGUGAAAGCCCGACGAGGUAGCAAUACCCGCGUGCACAGGUGCUGCAUGGCUGUCGUCAGCUCGUGUCGUGAGAUGUUGGGUUAAGUCCCGCAACGAGCGCAACCCUUGUGUCCUGUUGCGAUCCUGACGAGAGUUGGGAGCACUCUGGACAGACUGCCUCGCUUAAACGAGGAGGAAGGUGAGGAUGACGUCAAGUCAGUAUGGCCCUUACGGCCAGGGCUGCACACGUACUACAAUGCCCGGCACAAAGGGAAGCUAGACCGCAAGGUGGAGCAAAUCCCCGAAAACUGGGCCCA